rnacentral:rRNA from 1 species
UACGUAGGAGGCGAGCGUUGUCCGGAGUACUGGGCGUAAAGCGCACGCAGGCGGUCAGAUUAGUCUGUGGUGACAGUCGUCGGCUCAACUGACGAAGUACGAUGGAAACUGUCUGACUUGAGGGCUUCAGAGGGACACGGAAUUCCGGGUGGAGUGGUGAAAUGCGUAGAUAUCCGGAGGAACACCAAUGGCGAAGGCAGUGUCCUGGGAAGUAUCUGACGCUCAGGUGCGAAAGCUAGGGGAGCGAACAGG